rnacentral:rRNA from 1 species
UACGUAAGUGGCGAGCGUUAUCCGGAAUUACUGGGCGUAAAGAGCUCGUAGGUGGUUUGUCGCGUUGUUCGUGAAAACUCACAGCUCAACUGUGGGCGUGCGGGCGAUACGGGCAGACUAGAGUACUGCAGGGGAGACUGGAAUUCCUGGUGUAGCGGUGGAAUGCGCAGAUAUCAGGAGGAACACCGGUGGCGAAGGCGGGUCUCUGGGCAGUAACUGACGCUGGAGGAGCGAAAAGCGUGGGGAGCGAACAGG